AAUAAAUUUCAAUGUUGCAGACGCUCAUCGUGCAUUAUCAAAGUGGUCAUUGUGUUGUGAUGUGAUGUCAAGUUUGUGUCGAAUAAUACUGAUUUAAAAUAUAUUCAAGUCAACUGUGGACGUUAAUUAGAAAUUGAUUCAAUUUUUGUCAACAAAAUGAAAUCUACUCGUGGAUUGGUGACUAUUUUUCUAUUUGCUGAAUGUAUAUUCCUGGCGACUUCGGCAUCUCUCAAUGGAACUGGACCAUCUUCCGCCUCCGCCGAAAAUGUCGACAGUCCAUCAGCAACGGAAGUAGUUUUCGAUGACUCUGCAUCCGAAGUCUCAAACGACAACUUGGAAGCCACGACGGUGCAGCCGUUAUCGGAGAGAUUAGAAGAAGCGGAUGGAAAUGUGUACCAAACCACGUCCAUCCCUUGCACUAACGACAUUGAGGGUCCAGCUUGCCCAUCGGAUGCUGUGGCCGGAGACACGGUUCCGUUGUCCGCCACUCUGAUCACUUCGAACGACGCCUCUGCCGACGAGGAGAAGGGGACAACCGUUCAACCUUGAAGAGAUGCAUGACUGCAGACGAAUGACGUGAAUAAUAAGGAUAAUAAAUCUACGGUGACCAACCACAGUCAAUUUAAAAUGAUGCUAAUAGUGUAUCCUUGCUGCUAUAAUAACACUGAUCAAAGUGGACACUUUUAUGAUUAAAUUACAUUACGCUGCGCUGCUGUUUGUAACCAACCAUUUUGUAAAGUUCCUACGUAUUACAUUGUGUAUAAGAAUAUAGUUGAAUAAUAUAAAGUACAUAACUCUUGAUAACCUUCGUAAGUUACAAAAGUCGCAACUUUGUCGAUAGAGCGAAAUCGAAAGGGCUCAAGCAUUUGCCAUUUUGGGCUCUUCUUUAUUUCAUGUCUUGAAUUUAUAAAUAGCAAAAUUGCAUUUUGCAAAUACAAGCUAUAGGUUGCUGUUUUAUGCAUCGUGUUGUAGACAUGCACAUUCGUACAUUUAAGUAUUGAUAUUCACAGCAAAUCCAAUUUAAAGUUUGCCAUGAAUUUACGUACAGAUAGCUGUUUAAAUUGAGGCGAAAAUGAGAAUAAGUAGUCGAAGUAAUAAUUUGUUUUCAAUACAACAAAUGCUCAUUCAAGGUUUGAGUGUCACUUGUUAAUAUUUUCAGUAAUAUCGUUCAACCAGGCAAUCGAUAUAAUGAGACCUCCAUUAGAAAAGAUAAUGAGGAAGUUUCAUGAUCACUUUAAUUGAUCAAAUGUACACAAAGUCAUUUUAUCUGGAUACCAGAGGAGUUCAAAAAAUGCCUCUGGAAUCUACUUCCUUUGCUACCUAUGGUAUUCCUUGAUAUGAAUUAAAUUGCGUACACAAUACACAUGUACAUUUAACAGCACCUUCAAUCAGAUAAUUCCUCAAGCUCGGAGGUAAACUGAAGAUUUUGUAUCAAAUUGGCUUAAAAUGAGCAAUUAGAAUUUGAUGGACAUUUAUGAUUCAUCUACAUAUAUUUUGUUUAUGCACAUAUACUUAAUCCGUACAUGAAAACACCACAUAUUCAUAGCUAUUUGUUUACUUACAUACAUAGUUUACAACAACGUGGAAAUACUUAUUUAAUAUGCAUCAAUAUCCUGUUAUUUGAUAUAAAUAAAA